rnacentral:rRNA from 1 species
UACGUAGGGUGCAAGCGUUAAUCGGAAUUACUGGGCGUAAAGCGUGCGCAGGCGGUUUUGUAAGUCUGUCGUGAAAUCCCCGGGCUCAACCUGGGAAUUGCGAUGGAGACUGCAAGGCUAGAAUCUGGCAGAGGGGGGUAGAAUUCCACGUGUAGCAGUGAAAUGCGUAGAGAUGUGGAGGAACACCGAUGGCGAAGGCAGCCCCCUGGGUCAAGAUUGGACGCUCAUGCACCGAAAGCGUGGGGAGCAACAGG